CUCGGCUUGGCAGGGACAAUGGGGGGGAGGGAAGGGGGGAGAUAAGGGGCUGGCUGAGGGACCGUGGCGGGGAGCAGAGCCCUCUGGGGUGUCUGGGCCCCCCACACGCCCUGUGUGCUGGGCCUGGUCCCUGCCCCACUUCCCGCUGGGCCUGCAUGGCUAACACGCCCUCCCCCUCGUAGGGCGACAGGGGCUUCGAGGGGCUGCCGGGGCUGCCGGGCGAGAAGGGUCUCAAGGUAAGUGUGAGCCCCCCCCCGGCCCCCUGGGGCAGGUGUGAGCCCCCUGCCCCAGUCCCACAAGCUUCACCUCUCACUCUCUCUCCUGCAGGGGGACGUGGGGAAGCCGGGGCCCCCGGGCCCCCCAGGAGAGAAUGGAGCCAAGGGCUUGGGCGGCCUGCCAGGACCCAGGGGGCAGCCUGGGGAACCCGGUGUGCGCGGCUUGGUCGGCUCCCGUGGCCCCCCUGGCCCCCCAGGACAGCCGGGCGUGAGUGGCAUGGACGGCGCGCCUGGGCCCAAGGGCAACGUGGGAAUCCAGGGGGAGCCGGGCCCCCCCGGCCAGCAGGGGACCCCAGGACCCCAGGGCCUGCAUGGCCCCCAAGGGCCCGUCGGGAUGCCGGGAGGGAAGGGCCCGCCUGGGAAGCGGGGCAUGCAGGGCGUGGCUGGUGCCGAUGGCCCCCCCGGUCACCCGGGCAGAGAGGGGCCGGCGGGGGAGAAAGGGCUCCAGGGCACAGCUGGCGCCGUGGGACCCGUUGGUUACCCAGGCCCCCGUGGGGUCAAGGUGGGUACGGCCAGGCCCCAGUGAAGGGACCCUCCCUCCCCU
rnacentral:lncRNA from 1 species